CCAGAGGAAAGAACAAUAGUUAUCCUUUCUCGUUAAAUUGUAAAGAACAAUGCUAUAUAGCACGACACUCUUUGCAUGAAAGUUUUUUCAGUCUUUAACAAUAAUACAUCAGAUAUUUAAAGAUUUAAAAUAAUAAGGAUGUCUUUUUGGAUUGCACUUAUCGUGCGGUCGUGCCUCAAAAUCUGUUGUGCAUAGCAUUAUUGAAUUGUAAUGAACAUCAGAAAGAAUCUACCUAGCUUGCAUAUGGGUAUCAAGUUGCUUCCUUUUUGACGCAUUUCAGUUGCUUUUUCUAGUGUUAGACCUUCAGGGACUUGCUUUACCAGCCUGGGAUACACCGGAGACACAGGUUUCCACAACAUCAGAGGAAAACGCGGGCGUGUUCUAUAGUCGUAGUUUCUACCUCGGAAAAGGUACACUGUACCACCCUUUCUAUAAAUGAUUUUCCCCCCAGUCCUUUCCUGGAAAACCAGGCAAGAAGGAUACAAAUAAUAAAACACAAUAAAAUCCUUUUUAUCGAAUCGAAUAAAGUACAAUAGGAUAAAAAUUCAACACAUCAAAAUAAGGACAGGUAAACGCAUUUUAAAGAAAAGAAAACGAAGUUACAGUUUUGGAUCACUGAGAUCUAAGAGAAGCCAAAGGAGUUGUCAUUGGGAAAAAGCAGUCUCUUUUAUCUUCUAAGAAAGGCUCCAAACAGCACUAAAAAGCAUGACUUAAUCCAAGAUGGUAUGGCUUCCUAUAUUUCUUUCUGUUUGCAUUUAACUGCAUUACAAAGCCAGAGUAGAAGAAGAACUAAUAAAAUCCAGAAUGCAAGUUGAGAUUUCUUUUUUUUCCCCCAAAACUUUUAAAAGCAUAAGCAAAAAGCAAAUAUUUAAAGACGUGAUGAAUUAGCAACUGAGCAAGAUGCGAAAGAUCAGAGUUUAAAAACAGACCUCUAACUGGUGGCACACAUUAUCCAUAUCAACAGUGCACACCCCUCUGCACUUUAUCUGGCACACCCUCUGCCGCAUCCAAUGGGUAUGUACGUUCUCCAACAUGUUAUGUGUCAAACCGUCUCUCCCUAAAACAGAUAAAUUGAGUGCCUAACAUAAGUAAACACUCGAUUCCCAAAAACCAGAAAAGUUGAUACAAGUAAUUUCCCCACUCUUAUUGAACCAUGCACUAUUUAGCUCUCUUCAUAUAAUGUUAAAACAACAUUGCCCUCAAGGUUUCACAAACCCCCUACAUUCAAAAUAAAGCAACAUAACUGUAUAUUGUAUAAUAACUAAAACAAACACACAUACUGAUUGCAGUUACCUCCUUAAGAACACACCUAGAGCAAUCACAUUAUCCUAUUUAUAACAAAAGUAGAGAACAUUAACACGUCAUAUUAGUGUGUGUUUGGUUUUCAGUUCACACGCAUUCCAAGACAGUUUCAACUGAAAAACACGAAGUUUAUCAACGAUACACCGGAGACACAGGUUUCCACAACAUCAGAGGAAAACGCGGGCGUGUUCUAUAGUCGUAGUUUCUACCUCGGAAAAGGUACACUGUACCACCCUUUCUAUAAAUGAUUUUCCCCCCAGUCCUUUCCUGGAAAACCAGGCAAGAAGGAUACAAAUAAUAAAACACAAUAAAAUCCUUUUUAUCGAAUCGAAUAAAGUACAAUAGGAUAAAAAUUCAACACAUCAAAAUAAGGACAGGUAAACGCAUUUUAAAGAAAAGAAAACGAAGUUACAGUUUUGGAUCACUGAGAUCUAAGAGAAGCCAAAGGAGUUGUCAUUGGGAAAAAGCAGUCUCUUUUAUCUUCUAAGAAAGGCUCCAAACAGCACUAAAAAGCAUGACUUAAUCCAAGAUGGUAUGGCUUCCUAUAUUUCUUUCUGUUUGCAUUUAACUGCAUUACAAAGCCAGAGUAGAAGAAGAACUAAUAAAAUCCAGAAUGCAAGUUGAGAUUUCUUUUUUUUCCCCCAAAACUUUUAAAAGCAUAAGCAAAAAGCAAAUAUUUAAAGACGUGAUGAAUUAGCAACUGAGCAAGAUGCGAAAGAUCAGAGUUUAAAAACAGACCUCU
rnacentral:lncRNA from 1 species